rnacentral:tRNA from 1 species
GAGGGUAUAGCUCAGUGGUAGAGCACAUGCUUAGCAUGCACAAGGUCCUGGGUUCAAUCCCCAGUAUCUCCC